rnacentral:lncRNA from 1 species
AAUGAUAGAACCAAAGUUCGAUUGGAAAGCAAGCCAACCAGCGUUUUCGCACAGCUAGAAGGCGCGGGGGCGGCCACAGGGGCUAGCGCUACGGCGGCCCCGCCUGGACCAGGCCCGCAGCGCUCCCGACGUUCGCGGGUCCCACACGGCCCCGCGGGAGAAGAGGGGAACCGGGUUCUGGGAGUGGGGCGCCGAUGCCCCAGCCGAGACUUUUUUGUCUUCAGGCGGUCCGGCGGAGGCCCCCGGGCGGGCUGCCAAGCCUAUCCCACCCGCCGGCCCCGGCCCACGCAGCCCCGCCCCGCCCCCGGCGCGGAACGGAACACUCCGAGGCCCCGCCUGAGGGGGAAGAAAAAAGGGGUGGCCCGCGGAAGCAGCAGAGAGCUUGACUCCGGACGGGAACUAGUUUGCAUCCCUGAGCCCUUUACCUCCCCGCCGGCCGUUCACCCCAAGUGGAAGCUGGAGAAACAGGCCCUUCCGCGGCGGCCACCUGGACGCCCUGGACCCGCCCUCGGCCCCGCCCCUGGGCCCGCCUCCGGCUCCGCCCCUGGCGCGGAGCGGAACCCGCGGAGCGGGCCUGAGGAGGAAGGUAAGGGGACCGCUCCUCUAGGGACCCGGAAUGCUCCUGACACCGUGCGUCGCUUGCGGCCCCGCCCUGCGAUGAGCUCACAGUCAGGUCCCUGGCCCCGCCCCCAGAUACGCCCCCGCAGCGGAUCCGAGCCCUCCGAGCAGGGGAUGAGGCUGCCUCAUCCAGCGGCCCGGAGAAGGCCCCGGGGCAGGGUAGCCAAGCUCACCAGAGGCGGGAGAAAUAGGGCCUCCCACUGCAGCCGCUUGGGCGCCCCUCCGCGGGCCGCGUCUCCGCUGCCGAGCGGAAGCCGAGUAGCGGGGCACAGCCGGGAAGGGAAAGGGGGCGACCGGGGCAGGGUCCCCCAGCUGCCCCCGGCGCCUGCAGCCUCGCCCCUAAUCACCUGGGCGCCGCUCACCAGGCCUGCAGUCCAUCUCCUACAGGCCUACAACUUGCAAGUUGGCAUUACAGUUGCUCAUGGCCGCAAAUUACCUACAGUUCACAAUCUUCGGCCCAGUAUUCAUUUUCCACCAAAAUCUGGCCCUAUAUGA